rnacentral:lncRNA from 1 species
AUGUGCAAGAGGCAGCCUUGGCAAGAAAACUUGCUGCAUAAUCUUCCAUGGACUAAAGAUGAAACUUUAAACCGCAAGGUUUCUACAGUUUGGAAUUUGACAAUGAAGCCUUUCAUUCAUCUUGAAUUGAUGUUUGUAUAUGGUGAAUGGAAUGGAUCCGAUUUCAAUCUUUUGUAAAUGGCUAGCCAGUUACCCCAGCUCUAUUUAUUGAAAGUUUGAUAUCAGAAUGAUGCAUGACUCAUAGAAUCAGUGAGGAGAAGUUGCUCCUUUUCAACUUAUUUGGAAUAGUUUCAGUAGAAAUGGUACAGCUCUUCUUUAUACAUCUGAGAGAAUUCAACUGCGAAUCUGUCUGUUCCAAGCCGUUUGCUGGUUGGUAGACUUUUAUUACUGAUUCAAUUUUGGAAUUCAUUAUUUGUCUGCUCAGAGUUGCACUUUCUUGUUCAAUCUUGGGAAGUUGUAUUUCCAGAAAUUUAUCAGUUUUUCUAAAUUUUCUAAGUUUGCAUGAAUAGAGGUGUUCAUAAAAUUCUUUGAGGGUUGUUUUAAAUAUCUAUAUCCCAUAGAUAUAGGGAUUGGGGGUAAUGUCCACUUUGUCAUUUCUAAUUGUGGGUGUUCAGAUUUUUUUCUUUUCAGUAAUCUACUUAUCAAUCUUAUUUUUCAAAAAAAAUUAUUAGAUUUGUUGAU